AACAUCGCGCACCUGCGGGAACCUGCGGAAGGAUCAUUACCGAGUUAUUCAACUCAUCAACCCCUGUGAACUUACCUACAACGUUGCUUCGGCGGGAACAGACGGCCCCGUAAAACGGGCCGCCCCCGCCAGAGGACCCCUAACUCUGUUUUUAUAAUGUUUUUCUGAGUAAACAAGCAAAUAAAUUAAAACUUUCAACAAUGGAUCU
rnacentral:misc_RNA from 1 species